UGAAUACGAGACGCUAAGGCGUCGAAGUAGUGUAUGUCAUGCUUCCAAGAAAAGCUUGCACUGUCAUAGAUAAAAAACGCCUGUACCAUAACCGACACAGGUGGGUAGGUAGAGUAUACUAAGGGGCGCGAGAUAACUCUCUCUAAGGAACUCGGCAAAAUAACUCCGUAACUUCGGGAGAAGGAGUGCCUUAUUCGUAAGGUUGCAAUAACAAGAUCCAAGCAACUGUUUAUCAAAAACACAGGUCUCCGCUAAGUCGUAAGACGAUGUAUGGGGGCUGACGCCUGCCCAGUGCCAGAAGGUUAAAGAAGUCGGUUAGCAAUUGCGAAGCUGGUAACUGAAGCCCUGGUGAACGGCGGCCGUAACUAUAACGGUCCUAAGGUAGCGAAAUUCCUUGUCGGGUAAGUUCCGACCCGCACGAAAGGCGUAAUGAUUUGGAUACUGUCUCGGAGAGGGGCUCGGUGAAAUAGACUUGUCUGUGAAGAUGCGGACUACCUGCACCAGGACAGAAAGACCCUAUGAAGCUUUACUGUAACUUGAAAUUGAAAUUGGACUUUAUUCGCGCAGUAUAGGUGGGAGGCGUUGAUUAUAAUCUUGCGGGAUUAUUGGAGCCAUCAGUGAGAUACCACCCUUGUAAUGUUAGAUUUCUAACUUUGAAUCAUUAUCUGGUCAAAGAACAGUUUCAGGCGGGCAGUUUGACUGGGGCGGUCGCCUCCUAAACGGUAACGGAGGCGUACAAAGGUUUCCUCUGAACGGUUAGAAAUCGUAUCUAGAGUGUAAAGGCAUAAGGAAGCUUGACUGUGAGACCUACAAGUCGAGCAGGGACGAAAGUCGGUCUUAGUGAUCUGACGGUACUGAGUGGAAAGGCCGUCACUCAACGGAUAAAAGUUACUCUAAGGAUAACAGGCUGAUCUCCCCCAAGAGUUCACAUCGACGGGGAGGUUUGGCACCUCGAUGUCGGCUCAUCGCAUCCUGGGGCGGUAGUACGUCCCAAGGGUUGGGCUGUUCGCCCAUGAAAGCGGUACGCGAGCUGGGUUCAGAACGUCGUGAGACAGUUCGGUCCAUAUCCGGUGUAGGCGUUAGAAUAUUGAGAGGAGCCUUCUUUAGUACGAGAGGACCGAGAAGGACAUACCUCUGGUGUACCAGUUAUCGUGCCAACGGUAAACGCUGGGUAGCUAUGUAUGGAGUGGAUAACCGCUGAAAGCAUCUAAGUGGGAAGCCCACCUCAAGAUAAGUAUUCUCAUCAC
rnacentral:rRNA from 1 species